rnacentral:rRNA from 1 species
AUUGAACGCUGGCGGCAGGCCUAACACAUGCAAGUCGAGCGGAUGAAGGGAGCUUGCUCCUGGAUUCAGCGGCGGACGGGUGAGUAAUGCCUAGGAAUCUGCCUGGUAGUGGGGGAUAACGUCCGUAAACGGGCGCUAAUACCGCAUCCGUCCUGAGGGAGAAAGUGGGGGAUCUUCGGACCUCACGCUAUCAGAUGAGCCUAGGUCGGAUUAGCUAGUUGGUGGGGUAAAGGCCUACCAAGGCGACGAUCCGUAACUGGUCUGAGAGGCUGAUCAGUCACACUGGAACUGAGACACGGUCCAGACUCCUACGGGAGGCAGCAGUGGGGAAUAUUGGACAAUGGGCGAAAGCCUGAUCCAGCAAUGCCGCGUGUGUGAAGAAGGUCUUCGGAUUGUAAAGCACUUUUAGUUGGGAGGAAGGGCAGUAAGUUAAUACCUUGCUGUUUUGACGGUACCAACAGAAUAAGCACCGGCUAACUUCGUG